UACAGAGGCCUCGAGCGUUAGGCGGAAUCACUGGGCUUAAAGCGUGUGUAGGCGGACCCCUAAGUACCUUGUGAAAUCCCACGGCUCACCCGUGGAACGGCUGGGUAUACUGGGGGUCUUGAGCCACCUAGGGGCGAGUGGAACAAAUGGUGGAGCGGUGAAAUGCGUAGAUAUCGGAAGGAACACCUGUGGCGAAAGCGGCUCACUGGACCAUAACUGACGCUGAGGCACGAAAGCUAGGGGAGCAAACAGG
rnacentral:rRNA from 1 species